rnacentral:tRNA from 1 species
GAGUUUGUAGCUCAGUGGUAGAGUGCAUGCUUUGUAUGUAUGUAGGUUCAAUCCCCAGCUUCU